rnacentral:rRNA from 1 species
AUUGAACGCUAGCGGGAUGCUUUACACAUGCAAGUCGAACGAGGGGCAGACGUGUGAGUAAUAUAUCUGAACGUGCCCAGUAGGGGGGGAUACCUACUGGAAAGAGUGGCUAAUACCGCAUACCAUUGCAGCGGCCGGUAUCGGAUUAGCUAGUGGUUGGGGUAAAGGCUCACAAAGGCAAAGAUCCGUAGCUGGUUUGAGAGGACGACCAGCCAACCUGGGACGGAGACACGGCCCAGACUCCUACGGGAGGAAGCAGAGGGGAAUUUUGGACAAUGGGGGAAACCCUGAUCCAGCCAUCCCGCGUGUAUGAGAAGGCCUUCGGGUUGUAAAGUACUUUUGGCAGAGAAGCGGUAUCUACAGAAUAAGCACCGGCUAACUACGUGCCAACAGCCGCGGUAAUUC